GAUACUAAGCUUGGCGGGGAAGCGAGCGUUGGCGCCAUUCCCGGGCCGACCUCCAUCCCAAGCAGACGCACGGCAAGACGCUCCUCACGAUGGCGCCAAAUAUUCACGAUUAUAACGCCGCAGCCCGGUUAUUAGGCAAUAGCACUACUUAACUAAGUUGCCCUGACAGAACAUGUAAUGGGUGCGGGGCAGAAACAGAUUAUAGCACCCAAUACCUACCACGACAUGCUACUACACACAAUACUAGCACAGCCAUAUCAAGAAAACAAGGUGGACAUUUUAGAACUGCUGUUAGUAUGUAAAGAAGCAAUAAGACUGUGAAGUCAAGAAAGACCUGAUCAGAAGAAUGUGGAAGAAAAAAAGAAGAAAAGAAAACUGACCUCUUUUACAAUACACAAGUUACUGGACCCCUCCUUUUUACACAGACUACUACUACUAUAUUGCAGCUUUAAUCAAGAAACUUGAAGCAAAUGCAUAAACAGAAAGAAGGAAAUUAAAUAUAUGCAAGAGUUUUGGAAGAAUUGCUUAAAAUCUGAGAAGAGACGGCAGCACUCAACCAGGCACAAGAAAAUCAAGAAGAGGAGGCUCCGAACUGCAUUGAACUGAACUGUAAACUUAAUCAGAAGGGAGGAUAUUAAUAUACUCAAGAAUUUUAGAAGAAUCGCUUAAAAAUCAGAGAAGAGAAGGCAGCACAACUAAGCACAAGAAGACCAUUUAGAGGGGCAAAGGCAACCCUCUGAACAGAACUGGAAACAAACAGAAGGGAGGAAAUUAAAUAUACUCAAGACUUUUGGAAGAAUCGCUUAAAACUGGAGAAGAAAAGGCAGCACAACCAGGCACAAGAAGACCAUUUAGAGGGGCCGCUGCAAAGGCACUCCCUCCGAACUACUCUGCACUGAACUGACCUGGUUACGGCGCCUGUACAAGUGACCCGGGAUGGAGUACUGGCGGCAGGGCGUCUCUACGAAAGCUUCUGUAGGAGUGCUGCCCUCCACAGCAAGCAAGGGGCUGCCCUGCCCAGACCACAGAAAGAGGAGGAAGAGCUCUGCAUUACUAAGUUAAGUACCUCACUAUGACAUUCUGAGGGUUUGGCCUCAUUUUUGCCUUCUAUUCAAAACUUUUUACUUUUUAACGAACCUUAAUCUUUUUCUCAGCCUGCCUCCUCCUCCUCCUCCUCCUUCAACUUCCUUUUCCUCCUUGUGUGAAUCUGUCCGUCCCGAGAUCCGGCGAGACCAUCCCGACGUCGUAACACCCGUUUGGGAGUGGGGGGACUCAUGAAGGCGGCGGCGGCAGCCCUAAGGUGGGGAGGGUUGCGCCGACACCUCCACUCCGUUUCGGCGGAAUGUGGCUGGCUAGGGUGGCCUGAACCACUGUCUGGGUUGUUUGUCGUUCAGCCGGAUUGAGGAUCUGCCUCCCUUGAGGUGCACAUGUCAUAGUGGUGGCAGAAGAGAGUGUGAAUGAAGCUGAUGUCAUCCCGACGUCGUAACACCGUUGGGCGGGGCGGGGCUCUCAUGUCAAGUCUCCCCGCGGUGCACAUGUCACAGAGGUGCAAAUAGCAUGGCCUUCUUUCCUAUCUUUUCCCCCUCCUCCUCCACCCCCUCCCCCACACACCUCCUGCUGGUAUAUCGUCACCCUCAUAAAGUAAUUGCCUAAGUCAUUUUUCAGUGAUUUCCAUUUUUGUUAAGUUGUCUUAGAUAUUCAGGGUUUGAGUGUUCUAGAAUUGCCCUUUUUAUUUCUGCCUAAAUCUUCAGCCAAAUGAGAUGAUGAUGUUCUCUUCUUGAAAGAUAGAAAAUAACGACUUGGGCGGUUUCUUUACGAAGGUGGCGAGAUUGUAAUAGGUUUUGCACCCUCUAUUUAGGGAUGUGCACUAAUUUUCGUCUCUUCUCUUCCCCUCCUCCUCCCCUUGCUGGCCGGCGAAUGGAGGAGGAGCACUAGGACGAGGAGGUGAAAGGAGGCGGAGGGAGAGACGACUCGAGCACGAGGAGGCAAGAGACAAGAAGCAGAGACGCAGGAACAGAAAGGCAGCCAGAUGGUUGAUGAUGUGAAGAGGAGGAAGAUGACUGCAGGAGGCGGUGUGUGUGUGUCAGGGAAGGAGACGACAGCACCACCCUCACACACAGCGGGUUAAGGCCUGCAAGAGAGCCCAGUCAAUGAAGAGGAAAAGAAGACAAGAAGAAAGAAAAAAGAAGAGGCAAAACAGGAGGAGGGGAUAUUUUUUCUGUCUAUACCUGAAGUGUCAUGAAUUUACAAAGGGUAUAUUUAAGUCUGAUAUACUGCGAUGAAUUUAAAUAAGGUACUUUAGGAUGUAUUUAACGGUACUAGUGUGUAGCCUACUUUUGCCUGGAGUCAGAGUUGGGAGACGGUAAAAUGCUCUCCGACUCCUUUAUUGUGGUGCGGUGUGGUUCGUUUAUUGUGGUGCGGUAUGGUUCGUUUACUGUGGUGCGGUGUGGUUCGCUUAUUGUGGUGCGGUAUGGUUCAUUUACUGUGGUGUGGUAUGGUUCGUUUAUUGUGGUGUGGUUUGGUUCAUUUACUGUAGUGCUGUAUGGUUCGUUUACUGUGGUGCGGUAUGGUUCGUUUACUGUGGUGCGGUGUGGCUCAUUAACUGAGGUGAGGUGUGGUUCAUUUAUUGUGGUGCGGUGUGGCGUUGCGGGCUUUAAUUUGCCUACCACUGCACCAGACAAGGGUAGGGGGAGGGGGUGGAGUCAAUUUUUUUUAUAUCCAACUCCACACCCGUGUUAGAGUGUAAGAUUAUUGAUCGAAUAUAUUUAAGGUGCUGGGGGAUACUGUGGUGCUCCUGUCAUAACAACCCAUUCUGCUGCAUGACGCAUAUAUAUAUAUAGCAACCCGUGUUUUUUUCCGCUGUUGCAACAACCUGUACUGCUGCAUGACGCAUAGCAACCUGUGUUCUUUUCCGCUGUCGCAACAACCCGUACUGCUGCAUGACGCAUAGCAACCUGUGUUUUUUCCGUUGCGGCAACGACCCGUACUGCUGCAUGACUCAUACCAACCCGUGGUUUUUUCCGCUGCCGCAACGACCCGUACUGCUAACGCAUAAUGACCUGUGCUGCUUCUGCUAUUGUAACAACUCUUACUGUUGCUAUUGCAAUAACUUACUGCUGCUUCCAUUUUAAAACGUAUUGUUUCCGCUGCUUCGAUUAUCACAACAACCCACACUGCUGCUGCUGCUGCCCCCGUGCUCCCCAGAUCUUCUUACAGUGGCUUGGUUGAACUGCACGUUGGCCAAGCAGUCAGUCACGAGAGAUAAAAUUCGCCUGCGCCACUUCUGCUUCUGCUGUCGCAAUGACCCGCUGUGUUGCCAACUUGGCAACAAUCCAACCAAUGAAUUUUCUGAUCAAAGAUCAAAGAGAGGAUUAGGCCUUCAGGGGACACCUCUUAAAUAAAAACGCGCCUGGGACUUUUACCUCAGAGGUGGUGUGGAAAAAAAGUCCAAUCACGAAAAUAAGUAUCUUAUACUCCAUGAAAGUGUCUCAGUCUUAUGAGAACACAAAGGUUGAGAGGGCUCAGACAUUCUGUUGUUUCCUGCAUAUGCUCCCAUGUUAGCAGUAAGGGUACUAAAUUCUAAUCUCUGUACAAAACAACCAAAUAUACAUAACAAGGAAAAGAAAGUUGAAUAAAAUGUUUGCCUGCAUUCUCCGUCAGCAGCGUAGAUGUAACAAGGGUUGAAAAAAUGAGUUGUUUAUUACAGCCGCUGGCCAACGUCUUGACCCCAGAGUCUUUGUGUUUGUCUCCGCGUCCUCUGCACUACACUGCAUAGAAUCUGGCGAGUCUGGGUCGUGACAGCUGUUUCCCAAAGCCUCCAGGGAUACCAGUCAGGUUUAUGAGUGUUUUUCGUGUUGUUGCGGAAGUCUUGUCUACGCUCGCAAAUCUACACAUGGAAAUACUACUACCAACACAACCCAUAUGAAAGCCUUUCCUAAAACAAAACCUCUACCAGUGCCUUACCAGAAAGAAUCAAAGCUUACCAAAUACCCAAAAAUCUGUACUAUUUGUGGUUAACUCAAGGUAUUGAAUUUGCACUUAUUUUUUUUAUACUGAUGUUAGUGUCCCUUAUAUGUCUUGUCAUUAAGGGGAGUGUUUGGGUCUAUUAUUUGUUCUAUAUAUAAGGUAAUGAAUUUGCACUUAUUUUUUUAUAUACUGAUGUUAGUGUCCCUUAUAUGUCGUGUCAUUAAGGGGAGUGUCUGGGUCUAUUAUUUGUUCUAUAUAUUAUAAGGUAAUGAAUUUGCACUUAUUUUUUAUACCGAAGUUACUGUCCCUCAUAUGUCGUGUCAUUGAGGGAAUGUUUGGGUCUAUCAUUUUUUUUGGUUUGAUGCCCCUUUCAUGGAUCUAAAUAAUGACAUCCACCUUAAAUUAAAUGUAUGUGUCUGUGGUCAUCCCAAAGCGGAAGGUUGGUAUCUACUCCACUGGUUUUCAUGUGUUUUCUCGGACAGUUCAGAUUAUUAGCAAAUGUUUUUACCCGUCUGUUGUGAUUGGCACAGAUUUCGCCUUCACUGGUAGCCUGGUAACAUGUACUCCCAGAUCAUUCUCUGCCUCUGUGGUGGAUAGUGGAGUGCUUCCCAUGUGGUAUUGGUGUGCUGGAUAUCCCCUCCCAAGGUGCAGGACUAUAUAUUUUUCUUCAUUAAGGAACCUGCAGGGGGACAUGGAUCUGCUAAUAUGUGCAUAACUUCGAGCUGUGAACAAAUAUUACCUGUGUAUUAGCUAUGGUGUACUGGGCCUGAGGAACACUUACGCUCCUGUCUCGUAAUCCACAUCUAAUAAUUUUUCCUUACAGCUUAUACUUUAUGCCUCGAACACUGCCUGAUUAUAUUUACAGGUACU